rnacentral:rRNA from 1 species
AAACCAACAGGGAUUGCCUCAGUAACGGCGAGUGAAGCGGCAAAAAGCUCAAAUUUGAAAUCUAACACUUUCAGUGUUCGAGUUGUAAUUUGAAGAAAGUUUCUCUGAGUAGUCCUUUAUCUAUGUUCCUUGGAACAGGACGUCAUAGAGGGUGAGAAUCCCGUAUGAUUUUGGAUACUAUUCUUUGUGAGAUUCUUUCGAAGAGUCGAGUUGUUUGGGAAUGCAGCUCUAAGUGGGUGGUAAAUUCCAUCUAAAGCUAAAUAUUGGCGAGAGACCGAUAGCGAACAAGUACAGUGAUGGAAAGAUGAAAAGAACUCUGAAGAGAGAGUGAAAAAGUACGUGAAAUUGCUGAAAGGGAAGGGCUUUAGGUCAGACUUGGUGUUUAAAUGAUUAUCUUCUCUUUUUGAGUUGUGCACUCGUUUUCACUGGGCCAAUAUCAGUUUUUGUGGUAGAGCACCUACUGGAAUGUAGCUUUCUUCGGAUGAGUGUUAUAGCCUUUAGACGAUCUAUUUAC